rnacentral:misc_RNA from 1 species
UCUCCGUAGGUGAACCUGCGGAGGGAUCAUUACUGAGUGAGGGUCUCCGGGCCCGACCUCCAACCCUUUGUGAACGCAUCAUGUUGCUUCGGGGGCGACCCUGCCGUUCGCGGCAUUCCCCCCGGAGGUCAUCAAACCCUGCGUAACUAAGUCGUCGGAGUUUAAACAAAUUAAACAAAACUUUCAACAACGGAUCUCUUGGUUCGGGCAUCGAUGAAGAACGCAGC